UUUUUGAGAGCCGCCGGCCCCUCUUUCCUGCCCUGCCCGCCUCUGAGGGAAGAGGAGGAAGGAGACGGAGAAGCAGCAGCCCGGCAGUCUUACUGCGGUGGACACACGACAAAGAAGUACAGGUUUCCUGGAAUAUAUAGCUGUGCAGAACAAAUGAUUAUCUGGCCCCUCAUACACAUUGCUGUAUAGAGAGGAAGGACAGAGAAGUGAGGGAGGAUUACAGUGUAUAAAAACAAGACUGUCAUACCCUCCGGAGAGAGGAGCACAAAUGAGGACGAGUUGGAAUCCAUGCACCAUUGUUCUGGGGCCAGGAGUUCAGCAUGGAUUUCACUGGAUAAGGUCCAGUGAUAUUUCUCCCCACUAAAGACCUGUCAUCACACAACCCAUCUGGAAUUUAACUCUUGGAGCCAUAAACUUGAACAACUCGUACGAGGCAAUACAUGUGAACAUUUGGAGAUACUUAUCAUUUCCAUUAUAAACAAACCACAACCUGUCUACUGAAUUCAAUAUGGAAUUAAUACCAGGUGCA